UCCCCAAUAGCUCAAUGGUGGAGCGAUCGGCUGUUAACCGAGUGGCUGUAGGUUCGACUCCUAUUUGGGGAG
rnacentral:tRNA from 2 species